UACGUAGGGGGGCAAGCGUUGUCCGGAUUUAUUGGGCGUAAAGAGCGUGUAGGCGGUUUGGUAGGUCCGUUGUGAAAACUCGAGGCUCAACCUCGAGACGCCGAUGGAAACCAUCAAGCUAGAGUUCGGAAGACGGGAGUGGAAUUCCAGGUGUAGCGGUGGAAUGCGCAGAUAUCUGGAGGAACACCAAAGGCUAAGGCAGCUCCCGAGGACGAUACUGACGCUGAGACGCGAAAGCGUGGGGAGCAAACAGG
rnacentral:rRNA from 1 species